rnacentral:rRNA from 1 species
AUGGAUAUUAGAGCUAGCAAAUAUGCCCAUAAGCUGUUUAGUAUCCAGCAGAAUGCCUUUAUUAAAGGGAGGCAUAUUGUGGAUGGUAUACUAUCUUUGCAUGAGAUUAUGCACUAUACUCAUGUCAAAAAACAAGUCGGAGUAGUUCUCAAGCUCGAUUUCGAGAAGGCUUAUGACAAAGUAAACUGGGAUUUUUUGCUUGAUUGUCAUGAAAAGCGCGGGUUUAAUCCCAAGUGGUGUGGAUGGGUCUCUCAGAUCCUAAAAAAUGGCACGGUUAGUGUCAAGAUCAAUGAUGAGGUGGGGCCCUAUAUUCAAAGUGCUAAGGGGGUGAGACAGGGAGAUCCUCACUCCCCCUUCCUGUUCAAUUUAGUAGCCGAAUGCCUGACUAAAAUGGUGCUGGUAGCUUAG